UACGUAGGGUGCGAGCGUUAAUCGGAAUUACUGGGCGUAAAGCGUGCGCAGGCGGUUAUGUAAGACAGAUGUGAAAUCCCCGGGCGUCAACCUGGGAACGUGCAUUUGUUGACUGCAUAGCUAGAGUACGGCAGAGGGGGAGUGGAAUUCCGCGUGUAGCAGUGAGAUGCGUAGAGAUGUGGAGGAACACCGAUGGCGAAGGCAGCCCCCUCGGGUGAA
rnacentral:rRNA from 1 species